UUCCGGUUGAUCCCGCCGGACCUGACUGCUAUCGGAUUGAUACUAAGCCAUGCGAGUCAUUGUAGCAAUACAAGGCAUACGGCUCAGUAACGCGUAGUCAACCUAACCUAUGGACGGGAAUAACCUCGGGAAACUGAGAAUAAUUCCCGAUAGAACAUUAUACCUGGAAUGGUUUAUGUUCCAAAUGAUUUAUCGCCGUAGGAUGGGACUGCGGCCUAUCAGUUUGUUGGUGAGGUAAUGGCCCACCAAGACUAUUACAGGUACGGGCUCUGAGAGGAGUAGCCCGGAGAUGGGUACUGAGACACGGACCCAGGCCCUAUGGGGCGCAGCAGGCGAGAAAACUUUGCAAUGUGCGAAAGCACGACAAGGUUAAUCCGAGUGAUUUGUGCUAAACGAAUCUUUUGUUAGUCCUAGAAACACUAACGAAUAAGGGGUGGGCAAGUUCUGGUGUCAGCCGCCGCGGUAAAACCAGCACCUCAAGUGGUCAGGAUGAUUAUUGGGCCUAAAGCAUCCGUAGCCGGCUCUGUAAGUUUUCGGUUAAAUCUGUACGCUCAACGUACAGGCUGCCGGGAAUACUGCAAAGCUAGGGAGUGGGAGAAGUAGACGGUACUCGGUAGGAAGUGGUAAAAUGCUUUGAUCUAUCGAUGACCACCUGUGGCGAAGGCGGUCUACUAGAACACGUCCGACGGUGAGGGAUGAAAGCUGGGGGAGCAAACCGGAUUAGAUACCCGGGUAGUCCCAGCUGUAAACUAUGCAAACUCAGUGAUGCAUUGGCUUGUG
rnacentral:rRNA from 1 species